GACGAACGCUGGCGGCGUGCUUAACACAUGCAAGUCGAACGGAAAGGCCCUGCUUUUGUGGGGUGCUCGAGUGGCGAACGGGUGAGUAACACGUGAGUAACCUGCCCUUGACUUUGGGAUAACUUCAGUAAACUGGGGCUAAUACCGGAUAUUAGCUCCUGCUGCAUGGUGUGGGUUGUAAAGUUUCGGCGGUUGGGGAUGGACUCGCGGCUUAUCAGCCUGUUGGUGGGGUAGUGGCUUACCAAGGCUUUGACGGGUAGCCGGCCUGAUAGGGUGACCGGCGACAUUGGGACUGAGAUAACGCCCAGACUCCUACGGGAGGCAGAAGUGGGGAAUAUUGCACAGUGGGAGGAAGCCUGAUGCAGCAACGCCGCGUGCGGGAUGACGGCCUUCGGGUUGUAACCCGCUUUCGCCUGUGACGAAGCGUGAGUGACGGUAAUGGGUAAAGAAGCACCGGCUAACUACGUG
rnacentral:rRNA from 1 species